UGAGGAAUUUUGCGCAAUGGCCGCAAGGCUGACGCAGCAACGCCGCGUGGGUGAUGAAGGCCUUCGGGUUGUAAAGCCCUGUCAGUUGGGAAGAAAGGCCUUGAUAAGAAACGGUUGAGGUUUUACGGUACCACCAGAGGAAGCACCGGCUAACUCCGUGCCAGCAGCCGCGGGAAUACGGAGGGUGCGAGCGUUAUUCGGAAUUACUGGGGGUAAAGCGCGUGUAGGCGGGGAUGCAAGUCUGAUGUGAAAGCCCUGGGCUUAACCUGGGAAGUGCAUUGGAAACUGCAUGUCUUGAGUACUGGAGAGGAAGGGGGAAUUCCCGGUGUAGAGGUGAAAUUCGUAGAGAUCGGGAGGAAUACCAGUGGCGGAGGCGCCCUUCUGGACGGUAACUGACGCUGAGACGCGAAAGCGUGGGGAGCAAACAG
rnacentral:rRNA from 1 species